rnacentral:rRNA from 1 species
GGGCCCGCACAAGCGGUGGAGCAUGUGGUUUAAUUCGAUGCAACGCGAAGAACCUUACCAGGACUUGACAUACUACAAAUUCUUUUGAGAAAAAGAAGUGCCUUCGGGAAUGUAGAUACAGGUGGUGCAUGGCUGUCGUCAGCUCGUGUCGUGAGAUGUUGGGUUAAGUCCCGCAACGAGCGCAACCCUUAUUUUUAGUUACCAAUUCGUUGGGUUCUCUAGAAAGACUGCCGGUGACAAACCGGAGGAAGGUGAGGAUGACGUCAAGUCAGCAUGCCCCUUAUGUCCUGGGCUACACACGUGCUACAAUGGUUAAGACAAAGAGUCGCGAGCUCGUGAGAGUCAGCUAAUCUCAUAAACUUAGCCCAAGUUCAGAUUGUAGGCUGCAACUCGCCUACAUG